ACAAAGGGACCCCGCGCGCCUCCUCCUCGCCCGCCUCCUCCCCGCCCGCCCUUGCGCGCGUCCCGCUGGGCAGGCCACAUCUGGAAUUCAUUGCUGCUGCCGCCGCCGGAAAGGAGGCGGAGAUAGGGCGGGGCAAGUGGGGGCCGAGGCGGCGCCUCUCGCGGUCCCCCUCCGUCCCCGGUCCCCAGCCCCGGGACGCAGAGGAGCCCGGCGGGCAGUCCCAGCCCUAGCCGCGGCCGUCCCGGGGACGCAGACGCCAAAGCCCCUCUGGCCAGGGCAAGGACCCGGGUCGGCCUAGCCAGCUCUGACAGCCCCAUGGCCCCAGCCGGCUACUAAGCCCCACCAUGGGCAACGUGUACUCAGAGUACCUAAGCUCCAGCAAGGUCAGGGAACACUAUAAUUACACCAAGGAGAAUCUGGACACGAAGGAGACGCCCUCCCGCCAGGUGGCCUCAGCCCUCAUCGUGGUCCUCUGUUGCGCCAUCGUGGUGGAAAACCUGUUGGUCCUCAUCGCGGUUGCCCGCAACAGCAAGUUCCACUCGGCCAUGUACCUGUUCCUGGGCAACCUGGCUGCCUCGGACCUGCUGGCGGGCGUGGCCUUCAUAGCCAAUACUUUGCUCUCGGGCUCUGUCACACUGGGGCUGACCCCCGUGCAGUGGUUCGCCCGUGAGGGCUCUGCCUUCAUCACGCUCUCCGCCUCUGUCUUCAGCCUCCUGGCCAUCGCCAUCGAGCGGCACGUGGCCAUCGCCAAGGUCAAGCUCUACGGCAGCGACAAGAGCUGCCGCAUGCUGCUGCUCGUCGCGGCCUCGUGGCUCAUCUCGCUGGUUCUCGGCGGCCUGCCCAUCCUUGGCUGGAACUGCCUGGGCCGCCUGGAGGCCUGCUCCACCGUCCUGCCGCUCUACGCCAAGCCCUACGUCCUCUGCGUGGUGACCAUCUUCUCGGUCAUCUUGUCCGCCAUCGUAGCCCUGUACGUCCGCAUCUACUGUGUGGUCCGCUCCAGCCAGGCCGAUGUGGCUGGCCCGCAGACACUGGCCCUGCUCAAGACGGUCACCAUCGUGCUGGGCGUCUUCAUCUUCUGCUGGCUGCCCGCCUUUAGCAUCCUCCUCCUGGACUAUGCCUGUCCUGUCCGGGCCUGCCCUGUCCUCUACCAGGCCCAUUACUUCUUUGCCUUUGCCACCCUCAACUCACUGCUCAACCCCGUCAUCUACACGUGGCGCAGCCGGGACCUGAGGCGGGAGGUAUUACGGCCGCUGCAGUGCUGGCGGCGGGCAGCAGGGGUGCAAGGGGGGCGGGACGGGACCCCGGGCCACCGCCUCCUGCCCCUCCGCAGCUCCAGCUCCCUGGAGAGGGGCACACACAUGCCCACAUCGCCCACGUUUCCGGAGGGCGACACGAUGGUCUGAGGGGCAAGUGGGCUGACACCCAGGCCACCACAGCAGAGGGCUCCGUGGAGAGGCACCGGGUGCCCUGGGACAGAGACAUGGGGCUGCCAAGCAAGAUGCCCCCAUUCCACAGACCUGGGCGAUGCUGAAGGCACAGGGCCCAGCGGGUCCUUUGAAGAUAGAUCUGGAGCUUUGAUGGGGAACCCAGGCCCUCGAGCUGAAGCUCCACCCGGCAACCCCAGCACAAAGCUAGGGCAGCCUGCGGAAGCGAGAAGGAGUGGGGCAGACGGUGGCCAGAAGCUGAGACCCACACCCCCCAUCGGAAUUCCCCUUCCUCCGGCAAUUCAAAGACAACCUCUGGAAACCUGAGCCCUCGCUGGGAUUGGGAGGAGGAAGAGGCACAGGCCAGGCCAGAGUCAAUAAAUUUCCCCCAAACACCCACAUGCUUCCUUCACCUGCUCCUUCAGGCAUGCGCUCCAAUGCCAUCUCCUCAGAGAAGCCUGCCCUGACCACCUUCUUCCCUCUAUCUAGCCCCUCACCUUCUUACCACCUGGCGGUGUAAUAUACAUCGGUCUACUUCUCCCUAAUUAAAAUAUUUACUUUUUUUUUUUUUUGGCUGCACCACGCAACAUGUGGGAUCUUCGUUCCCCGACCAGGGAUCGAACCUGCGUCCUCUGCAUUGGAAGCACAGAGUCUUAACCACUGGACCGCCAGGGAAGUCCCUUUUUUAUUUAAUUUUUUUCCUAAUUAAAACAUGAACACCUUGCAGAUAGGACUGCAUCCUAUUCACCACAGUCUCUAGCAUCUUUCAUGGUACUUGGCACGUUCCCACCAAAGGAGCUUAGCAGCUGCUGUUCCUUCUUCUGGGAAUGAUCUUCCUGCAGACAUCUUUGUGACUCUUCUCUCCUCUUUCAAGUCGGUAUUCAAAUAUCACACCCUGGGUGAGGCCUCUGGCCAUGAACACAAUUUUUUUUUUAUCCUAUCUACCUCCCUUGCUACUCGCUAAUAUGCAACACAUUUCGCUUCUUUAUCUUGUUCAGUUUAUUAUUAUUAUUAUUAUAUUUUUGGCCGUGCUGCACGGCAUGUGGGACCUUAGUUCCCCAACCAGGAUCAAACCCAUGCCCCCCGCAUUGGAAGCGCAGAGUCUUAACCACUGGACCGCCAGGGAAGUACCUAUCUUGUUUAUUUUCUAUUUCCCCCUUAGAAUGCCAGUCCCAUUCGAAAUACCAGACAGCAGGAGUUUUUGUCUAUCUUGCUCACUGAGUGGCCUCAGUGCUCAGAACAGUGGCCAGCUCACAGUAGGUGCUCAAUAAAUGUUGAAUGAAUGAAAGCCAAAGCAAAUGGCUGAAUGUUAAGUGCUGUGAAGAAAAUAAAAUAGGAGAAGCAACAGUUUUGGGGUACUGUAUUCUGCAGGGAAGGCAUUAUUAUAGGCACUCUGACCGAGAAAGAAACUGAGGCACAGAGAGGUCAAGUCAUGUGCCCAAGGUCACGGAGCAUGUGAGUGGAGGGGUCUGGAUUUGAACCCAGGCAGUCCUUUUUUUUGGCUGCACCACUCAGCUUGUGAAUCUUAGUUCCCCAACCAGGGAUAGAACCCCGGGCCCCCUGCAGUGGUAGCAUGGAGUCCUAACCACUGGACGGCCAGGGAACUCCCCCCUUUUUUUUUCUUUUUCUUUUUUUCAGGCAGUCCUUGAUUGAAUACCAAAUCACUUCUCAUUCUCCUCAGUAUGGCGGUCUGAAGAACUGAUUUGCUAAUCUCUCAGAUCUCAGAGCCUAGAAUGGAAUGGACCAACCUGUA